rnacentral:rRNA from 1 species
UACGUAGGGGGCAAGCGUUGUCCGGAUUCAUUGGGCGUAAAGGGUGCGUAGGCGGCGCGGUAAGUCGGGUGUGAAAUCUCGGAGCUUAACUCCGAAACUGCAUUCGAUACUGCCGUGCUUGAGGACUGGAGAGGAGACUGGAAUUUACGGUGUAGCGGUGAAAUGCGUAGAUAUCGUAAGGAAGACCGAGUGGCGAAGGCGGGUCUCUGGACAGUUCCUGACGCUGAGGCACGAAGGCCAGGGGAGCAAACGGG